rnacentral:rRNA from 1 species
AUACGUAGGGGGCAAGCGUUAUCCGGAAUUACUGGGCGUAAAGGGUGCGUAGGCGGUUUAUCAAGUCAGGGGUGAAAGGCUACGGCUCAACCGUAGUAAGCCUUUGAAACUGAUGAACUUGAGUGUAGGAGAGGAAAGUGGAAUUCCCAGUGUAGCGGUGAAAUGCGUAGAUAUUGGGAGGAACACCAGUGGCGAAGGCGACUUUCUGGACUACAACUGACGCUGAGGCACGAAAGCGUGGGGAGCAAACAGGAUUAGAUACCCUGGUAGUCCACGCUGUAAACGAUGAGCACUAGGUGUCGGCUGUCAAAGGUCGGUGCCGACGUUAACACAUUAAGUGCUCCGCCUGGGGAGUACGCUCGCAAGAGUGAA